rnacentral:rRNA from 1 species
CCUACGGGUGGCAGCAGUGGGGAAUAUUGGGCAAUGGGCGCAAGCCUGACCCAGCAACGCCGCGUGAAGGAAGAAGGCUUUCGGGUUGUAAACUUCUUUUGUCAGGGACGAAGCAAGUCACGGUAUCUGACGAAUAAGCCACGGCUAACUUCGUGCCAGCAUCCGCCGUAAUACGUAGGUGGGAAGCGUUAUCCGGAUUUACUGGGUGUAAAGGGCGUUUAGGCGGGACUGGAAGUCAGAUGUGAAAACAACGGGCUGAACCUGUGGCCUGCAUUUGAAACUGGAGUUCUUGAGUACUGGAGAGGCAGGCGGAAUGCGUAGUGUAGCGGUGAAAUGCGUAGAUAUUGGGAAGAACGCCGGUGGCGAAGGCAGUCUGCUGGAGGGGAACUGACGCUGAGGCGCGAAAGCGUGGGGAGCGAACAGGAUUAGAUACCCCUGUAGUC